CCUACGGGUGGCAGCAGUCGAGAAUCAUUCACAAUGGGGGAAACCCUGAUGGUGCGACGCCGCGUGGGGGAAUGAAGGUCUUCGGAUUGUAAACCCCUGUCAUGUGGGAGCAAAUUAAAAAGAUAGUACCACAAGAGGAAGAGACGGCUAACUCUGUGCCAGCAGCCGCGGUAAUACAGAGGGCUCAAGCGUUGUUCGGAAUCACUGGGCGUAAAGCGUGCGUAGGCUGUAUCGUAAGUCGUGUGUGAAAGGUGCGGGCUCAACCCGCGGACGGCACAUGAUACUGCGAGACUAGAGUAAUGGAGGGGGAACCGGAAUUCUCGGUGUAGCAGUGAAAUGCGUAGAUAUCGAGAGGAACACUCGUGGCGAAGGCGGGUUCCUGGACAUUAACUGACGCUGAGGCACGAAGGCCAGGGGAGCGAAAGGGAUUAGAUACCCCAGUAGUC
rnacentral:rRNA from 1 species